rnacentral:rRNA from 1 species
CGGAAGCAUCGCAACAUCAUAAAGAACACGUUGCCGUAGGGGCAGACAGUGCCGGAAGGCACGGGAUGCCGUGGAGGCAGGUCAAGCUUAGUGAUGUGGGGAGGAGCUGCCGAAGGUGGAGCCAUUAACUGGGGUGAAGUCGUAACAAGGUAUC